AUUUAAAAACACAAAUACUGAGUUGGAAAAAGGAUCACACCCUUGUUUCAGUAUUUCGUUGAACCACCUUCUGCUUCAAUUACAGACUUUAGUCUGUAGGGAUAGGUCUCUAACUUUACUAAGUUUACAUAUCU